rnacentral:rRNA from 1 species
UACGUAGGGUGCGAGCGUUAAUCGGAAUUACUGGGCGUAAAGCGUGCGCAGGCGGUUUUGUAAGCCAGAUGUGAAAGCCCCGGGCUCAACCUGGGAAUGGCAUUUGGGACUGCAAGGCUGGAGUUUGGCAGAGGAGACUGGAAUUCCUGGUGUAGCAGUGAAAUGCGUAGAUAUCGGAAGGAACACCAGUGGCGAAAGCGACUUCCUGGUCCAAUACUGACGUUCAUGUGCGAAAGCGUGGGGAGCAAACAGGA